rnacentral:rRNA from 1 species
CUAGCUGUAAACGAUGGAUACUAGGCGUUGAGAGUAUCGACCCUCUCAGUGUCGUAGCUAACGCGUUAAGUAUCCCGCCUGGGGAGUACGCGCGCAAGCGUGAAACUCAAAGGAAUUGACGGGGGCCCGCACAAGCGGUGGAGGUAUGUGGUUUAAUUCGAUGCAACGCGAAGAACCUUACCAGGGCUUGACAUGUCCGGAACCCUGCCCAAAGGCGGGGGUGCCUACGGGAACCGGAACACAGGUGGUGC